GAAGUGCGAUAAGUGUCAUGACUUGCAGAUUCACGAGAGCUGACAAAUUUCUGAAUGCAAAUGGCGGCCGCCUAAAACGGCCAUGUAUUGCAGAGUGUAGUUGUUCAUACUCAUCAUCCCCUACAAUCACACGCUUGGUUGUAGAGCUUGGGAUCUGCGCUUGCGACAUUUCGAUGCGCGAGUGUUAAAAAUCGAGCUCCUAUUGACUCGCAAGGGUCAAUAGGUGACUUCGGAGAACAACAAGUGGGGGGUGCGCGCGUGUCUGCGUCGUCAAAAGCGCAACAAGCACACACCACACCACUUGACGUGACAUCGAAGUUAACCAGAAGCUCAAUCAUUUAGGCAGCCACCUCUGCGAUGCAGGAGAACCCGCUGAACUUAA
rnacentral:misc_RNA from 1 species